UAAUGAAAGUGUGAAACACCCUGUGGAGUACGUUAACAAAAUAAGGAAUCUAAAAAUAAUGUUAUCAUAGGUCCGCUUUUCCGAUAGUUGUAGCAUUUUCAUUUUCCAAAUGCUACUUUGUUUUAUUAUAGACGGUAUUUUAUUAUUGUAUCGAUACAACACUUAAAUUUCGGAACGCUCUCUAUCGAAAAUAUUGGAUCGUACCCUGGCUAGCGAUUCUUUAAACAUAUUUCCUGUCUAGUGACUCAUCAAUCGUAUACAAAUAGCAUAGGCUAGACAGGAAAUUUCUUGCUACGGAGCUUACAGAAUCCCACCGCUGGUGUAUCGACAAGACGGGAAACGUCAAAAUCGCCACCUCGGAUUUGGCCGCUACCGAGGUCACUGUGCCAUUUUGAGAAUUAAAUUUAUUUGGCUAGUAGUUUUCACAAUAUGGGAAAAAUAUUGUGAUUUUGUUGUCCCAUAGAUGGAUGGAGAUCCCAUAUAGCUUUUGAUUAUUGAGAUUUUAGUGGAUCUAUAGUUUUGAUUCCAGUUUUUUUGAUGAGAAGUGUCCAGCCCUUAUUUGAGAAGAAAUGUUAAAUAAUUAUUGAUCGUGUGCCUUCACAAUGAGGUUUUUCUACAGAUUUUUCUACGUAUUUUUCUCAGCAUUUUUCCACGUAUUUUUCUUCAA